rnacentral:rRNA from 1 species
CGGACGGGUGAGUAACGCGUGAGAAUCGGCCCUCAGGUUGGGGACAACCAUUGGAAACGGUGGCUAAUACCGAAUAAGCCGAAAGGUGAAAGAUUAAUUGCCUGGGGAAGAGCUCGCGUCUGAUUAGCUAGUUGGUGGGGUAAAAGCCUACCAAGGCUCCGAUCAGUAACUGGUCCGAGAGGAUGGCCAGUCACACUGGGACUGAGACACGGCCCAGACUCCUACGGGAGGCAGCAGUGGGGAAUUUUCCGCAAUGGGCGAAAGCCUGACGGAGCAAUACCGCGUGGGGGAGGAAGGCUCUUGGGUCGUAAACCUCUUUUCUCAGGGAAGAACACAAUGACGGUACCUGAGGAGUCAGCAUCGGCUAACUCCGUGCCAGCAGCCGCGGUAAUACGGAGGAUGCAAGCGUUAUCCGGAAUGAUUGGGCGUAAAGCGUCCGCAGGUGGCAGUGUAAGUCUGCUGUCAAAGGUCAGGGCUUAACCCUGAACAGGCAGUGGAAACUACACAGCUAGAGUGCGGUGGGGGCAGAGGGAAUUCCCAGUGUAGCGGUGAAAUGCGUAGAGAUUGGGAAGAACACCGGUGGCGAAAGCGCUCUGCUAGGCCGCAACUGACACUCAUGGACGAAAGCUAGGGGAGCGAAUGGGAUUAGAUACCCCAGUAGUC